CUGGCCAGCAGGGGGCGGUGAUAACUCUUUAUCCACUUCUCAGGCACUGUGAGGUGUGUGACUGAGCUCAGGGCUCUUAUCCUACAGAGCAUGGCCCUGUUCUGACAGCUGCUGCAGAGACCCCAACUGAGAUCUGGGCCCUGUUCUGCCAGGUACUGAAGAGACCUGAGGCUACAGAAUAACGUCCACAUUUCACUCCAGAUCAUCCCCUCC